UAUUCCUAGUGCUGAGUUUCCUUAAAUAUUGUGCAGACUAAAGAAACUUUCAAGAAAUCAAUAACAGAUUUCAUGUCAUUAACAACUUAAAUUUAUGAAAUAAUAAGAAACAGAGAUAGAUGAAAAGCAAUUAUGAGAGAGGGGGGAAGGGAACGAUGGUGAACUAUAGGCUUCUGAUGGAGCAAAACUUCAGCGAAACAAAAGCAGAUCUAAAACCCUCGUUGCAGAUAUGGGCCACCAGUUGAAGUUGAAGGCGACGGCGGUGAAGGAUUGGGUUGGGGAUGUUUCACACAACGGUGGCGGCCCGGAUCUAGGGUUUCUAUCGAUAGGGCAACAGAGGUUUACCGUCGGUUACCGGAAAAGAAUCCUUGCCGGAAACGAUGGUGGUGGUGAUGGCUCUCAAGGGUGGGGGUUGAUUGGAGAUAGAGGGGGCAAUCUUGACCCAAAGCCUUUCAAAUGGGUCAAUUUGGGUUGAUUUUAAAAUUAUAUGGGUUUGUUUGGGUUAGAUAUUUUAACUAAAUAGGUCAUAAUGGAUCACUUGAAAUUCCAUCUUUUUAUUUUCGGGUCAAAGCGGGUCGACAACAUUAAAGAAAUUGGUCGAUGUGGGUUAGUGUCUUAAAGAAACAGGGACGGUUUCGGAUCGAAAUGGGUUUCGAGCCGGCAUAAGUAUCCGCACGAGACGGGUUACGGCACGAAACGAGUUCAGCUCAAAUUGAGUUUCGGGCUGAGACAGGUUUCGGCACGACGCAGGUUUUGGAUCGGAACGGGGUCGGUUCGGGUUGGGUUACGGGCCGACACGGGUUUUUGCACGGGACGGGUUUCGGAUCGCAACGGGUUUUGGACCGACACGAGUUUCCGCACGAGACGAGUUUCGGGUCGGGGCGGGUUUCGUACCGUUUCGACCCGUACUGUUUCGACGCGAACCGUUUCGACGCGAAUCGUUUCGACGCGUACCGUUUCGACGCGUACCGUUUCGACGCGUACCGUUUCAACGCGAACCGUUUCGACCCGUACCGUUUCGACGCGAACCGUUUCGACCCGUACCUUUCGACCAGUACCGUUUCAAAUCGAACCGUUUCGACGCGAACCGUUUCGACCCGUACCGUUUCGAACCGACGCGAACCGUUUCAGCGCGAACCGUUUCAACCCUUACCGUUUACCGUUUCGACAAGUACCAUUUCGAACCGAACCGUUCCGACCAAUACCGUUUCGAACCGAACCUAAGGCGUAAAACGACACCGGUUAAAGCCAAUUUGGAUGACUCGUGAUCUGACAAUCAAAUUUUAUACUACUCGCCACAAUUUCAAAACAUAUCUCACUGUCUGUAACGAGGAUUAUAAAUUUAAACUAAUAAUAUUUGUGCAGAGUUAAUGUUUGUGGCAUUGUUUUCCCUUUGAAUGCUUAUCUCUUGACUGUCUUUUUGUUCAAAAAGUUUUAGUUUUUUUAAUGACAGUUAACAUGUCAAGUAUGAUCACCAAAGUUAUAUUCUUAAAAAAAAACUGACCCGACUCGAUCCGAAACCCGUUCCGACUCGGACCCGUUUCAACCCGGACCCAUUUUGACCCGAACCAAAACAACCUUUUUUUUAUAAUUGACCCGUUUUGACCCGAACCCGUUCUGACCCAUGACCCGACCCGACCCGACCCGGCCCGUUUGCCAGGUCUAAUUGGAGAGAGACAGAGAGGGGAUAGAGACAUCUCAAUAAGAGACAUGUGUUUUGUUUAUUUGUUUAAUUUAAAUAUAUUAGUAAAUUACUAAUC